rnacentral:rRNA from 1 species
CAGCAGCCGCCGCGGUAAUACGGAGGGGGCUAGCGUUGUUCGGAAUUACUGGGCGUAAAGCGCACGUAGGCGGCUUGGUAAGUUAGAGGUGAAAGCCCGGAGCUCAACUCCGGAAUUGCCUUUAAGACUGCCGAGCUAGUAGGUGAGAGAGGUAAGUGGAAUUCCGAGUGUAGAGGUGAAAUUCGUAGAUAUUCGGAAGAACACCAGUGGCGAAGGCGGCUUACUGGCUCAUUCUAGACGCUGAGGUGCGAAAGCGUGGGGAGCAAACAGGAUUAGAUACCCCAGUAGUCCCUGUCUCUUAUAC